rnacentral:lncRNA from 1 species
CUCAAACUUGUGAUCUUCCUGCCUCAGUCUCCUGAGUUGCUGGGAUGACAGGUGUGUACCAGGUGUGCACCUGGCUUAUCUAUCUAUCUAUCUAUCUAUCUAUCUAUCUAUCUUUGGUGCCGGGGAUUGAACCUAGGGCCUUAAUAUGGUAAGCAUGUGCUCUACCACUGAGCUACACCCUCAGCUUUUUCAUCUUCAGAUUUUGCAACAAGCACAUUCUCAAGAUAACAAUCCGAACAAUACAAUUUAUAUGUAAAGUGGAAAGGAAAAGAUGGUUUCUUCUUCUCGAUUACUCUUUAGAGGGACUACUAGUUGAACCCUUGAUGUAAAUUUCCUUACUUCUUUUCUACCAACACACACACACACACACACACACACACACACACACCACACACCCUGCAUUUGUACAUGUGAAUACAUAUGUAACUUCUUUUAUUAAGACAAUCAUAUUUUAUAAACUGUUUUUUUUUUCAUUGCCCAAACUGGAUUUCUCUAUAUAUGUUAGUCCCUCUUUAUUCAUGGGAAUAUGCUUCAAGAACUCUGGAUACCUAAAAUCCAUCGACAGGACUGAGCUCUGUAUUUACUAUGUUUUCCCAUACACACAAACCCAUGAAAGAUUUUAAUUUACAAAUUAGGCACAGUAAGAGUUUAACCACUACUGCUGAAAGUAAAAUAAAGCAAUUAUGACAAUGUAGUGUCAUAAAAUUGCCUAUAUUACCAUUCUUGCAUUUUAGGGUCAUUAUUAAUUAAAAUGAAUGAUCACAAGCACUGCCAUACGCCAGCAGUGGAACCCAUGACCAGGGUGGCCAGCUUUUUGUUGCUGUGACAAAUACCUGAGAAUAACAACUUAGAGAAGGAAAGAUUUGUUUUGUUUCACAGUUUCAAAGGUUUCGAUUCAUGGUAGGCUGGCUCCAUUGCUUUGGGCCUGAGGUGAGGAGGAGCAUCAUGGUGGGAAAGGGAUUGGCGGAGGAAGACAGCUCAGCUCAGCUCAUGACAGCAUGUCGGAGGGACCUGGGGGCAGAGAGAGGAAAGGCCAGAGACAGGAAAUAGUCAUCCAGGACUCACUUCCAGAGACCUACUUCCUCCAAUCAUGUCUACCUGCCUCCAGUUUCUACCACCUCCCAGUCUUCAUUCAGUUAUCAAUGGAUCCAUCCACUGAUAAGGUCAGAGCCCUCAUGACAAUCACUUCCCCCAAACCCCACCUCUGGGCAUUACUGUCUUGGAGACUAACCUUCAACUCGUGAGUCUUUGGGGGACACUUCAUACCCAACCCAUAACAACCUGGAUAUCCACUAAGUGACAGAUGGUAGUACACAGUGUGGAUAUGUCAUGGACAGAGGGAGAUUCAUGUCCUAGGUGGGAUGGACUGAGAUGGGAUAUUUCAUUGUGCUAGUCAGAAUGGUGUGCAAUUUAAAACAUAAGGAUUUCUGGAACUUUUCAUUUAUUAUUUUCAGACCACAGUUGACCUUGGGUAACUGAAACUGCAGAAUGUUAGCAGUCCAUGGGUAAGGAGAGUUUAAUGUGCUCUUUAAUUUGGAGCACAGUUAUUAAAUUUCUAAGGAACAUCUGCUUUCUCAACUGUAAAAGGAUCACCCACAAAGCUUUGGGGUCUAGGACAGAAGGUGGCAAACUUUCUUCUGCAAGUGUCCAGGUGGUAAAUAUAUUAUAUUUUGCAAGUCUUAAAGUUUCUGUUGCAAUCACCCA